GCUAUCUGCGAUAUGGAAGAUUCGAACCUGCCGCAGGUUCGGGUCGAACGCAGUGAGACAACGGAGCCGUUUACGGCGACGGCCCGAAGGGCGAGCGAAGCGAGUCAUCCUGCACGACCCACCA
rnacentral:sRNA from 1 species